UUGUAGAAUUUUUUUAUUUUUCAAAUGAUAAUUUUAUUUUAAAAUUACAUAAUCCACCGUCAACAUGAAUGAUUUGAACAAUUGACCAAUUAACUGAAAUUUUGCCAAUUGAUUGCAUUGGAAUGAUACAUUGUAUUUAGAGAAAAAAUUAAGAUAGCACUAAAUCAAGUUUUUGUUCUCAAACUAGUAUUCAAGCCUCAAAGUCACAAAAAUAGGUUUCAUUAAAGAGGUAAAUAUAUAUUUAUACUCUUUGGAUUAAUUAAUCCAAAUCUUAGAGAAAGUUAAGGAAUGGAGUUUUGGAAUUAUUGUUUAAAAUUUUAUAAAAUAAAAAAUCAAUACUAAAAAAUUAAAAAUAAAAAUUUAAAAAAUAGUUUCAAAAAAUAUUUUUGAAUUAUAAAAAGAAAAUUUGAAAGAAAACAAUAAAAACAAAAUUCAAAAAAAAAUUAAAAAAAAUUAGAAAAAAUUUGAAUCUGAAAAACCAUAUAAUCUGCAACUAUAAAAAGAAAAUUUCAUUUUUUAUUUUUAUUUUAUUUGUUUUUAUUUAUUUUUGUUUGCUUAUUUAAUUUUAAAGACCUUGUAAUUAGACGAAGCAUUUAUAUACAUUUUCUUUUGCAACAAUUAUUUAAAAAAUAGUUUCAAAAAGUAUUUUUGAAUUAUAAAAAGAAAAUUUGAAAGAAAACAAUAAAAACAAAAUUCAAAAAAAAAAAUUAAAAAAAAAUUAGAAAAAAAUUUGAAUCUGAAAAACCAUAUAAUCUAAAACUAUAAAAAGAAAAUUUCAUUUUUUAUUUUUAUUUUAUUUGUUUUUAUUUAUUUUUGUUUGCUUAUUUAAUUUUAAAGACCUUGUAAUUAGACGAAGCAUUUAUAUACAUUUUCUUUUGCAACAAUUAUUUAAGAAAAAGCCAAAUCAAUUUUGUUAACCAACAAAUGAAAAAGGUAAUCAAAAAAAUAAUCUCCCCGCGGGCGCCCUCCCUCUCCCGAGGGUGCUCUCCUUGCCCUUUUCCCUCGCCCUCGCGGGCCUCUCCCCGCCGCCUCCUCUCCCCGCCCUCUCCCCGCGAACGCCUCUCCCACCUCUCCCCGCGAACGCCUCUCCCUCGCGGGCUCUCCCUCCCCUCUCCCUCCCCUCUCCCCGCAGGCGGGCCCCUCCUCUCCCCGCGGGCGCCUCUCCCCGCGGGGAGAGACCCGACCCCUGCGGAGGCGCCUCUCCCCCCUGCGGGCGGCCUC
rnacentral:lncRNA from 1 species